GGAGAUGUAGCUCAGUGGUGGAACAUCUGCGUUGGAUGCAGAAGGCACCAGGUUCAGUCCUUGACAAUUCCA
rnacentral:tRNA from 1 species